UCUGUUUCUAGUGGCGGACGGGUGAGUAACGCGUGGGUAACCUGCCUUAUACUGGGGGAUAACAGCCAGAAAUGGCUGCUAAUACCGCAUAAGCGCACAGAACCGCAUGGUUCCGUGUGAAAAACUCCGGUGGUAUAAGAUGGACCCGCGUUGGAUUAGCUAGUUGGCAGGGCAGCGGCCUACCAAGGCGACGAUCCAUAGCCGGCCUGAGAGGGUGAACGGCCACAUUGGGACUGAGACACGGCCCAGACUCCUACGGGAGGCAGCAGUGGGGAAUAUUGCACAAUGGGGGAAACCCUGAUGCAGCGACGCCGCGUGAAGGAAGAAGUAUUUCGGUAUGUAAAGCUCUAUCAGCAGGGAAGAUAAUGACGGUACCUGACUAAGAAGCUCCGGCUAAAUACGUGCCAGCAGCCGCGGUAAUACGUAUGGAGCAAGCGUUAUCCGGAUUUACUGGGUGUAAAGGGAGCGUAGGCGGUCCUGCAAGUCUGAUGUGAAAGGCCGGGGCUCAACCCCGGGACUGCAUUGGAAACUGUAGGACUAGAGUGUCGGAGGGGUAAGUGGAAUUCCUAGUGUAGCGGUGAAAUGCGUAGAUAUUAGGAGGAACACCAGUGGCGAAGGCGGCUUACUGGACGACUACUGA
rnacentral:rRNA from 1 species